rnacentral:misc_RNA from 1 species
CCUCCUUUUAAGAGUAAGUACACACCCGCACUUCGUGCGGGCGCCCAACACAAGUUGCUUGAGCACAUUCGGCAAAGCCUUCCGCCAGGACCUGAGCUUUGGGAUCAUGGGUAUUUGAGAAUGGGUCUGUAGCUCAGUUGGUUAGAGCGCACCCCUGAUAAGGGUGAGGUCGGAAGUUCAACUCUUCCCAGACCCACCAGCUUUAUGCCUAAUUUGCUGGGCGACUGAGAGUUUAUUUUUAACAAUUUUUUGGCCGCCUCUGUAUCCGGCAUAAAACCAACGCCACAAAAAAGACUAUAGCGAGGGGCUGUANCUCAGUCGGGAGAGCACCUGGUUUUGUAACCAGGGAGGUCACCGGGUUCGAACCCGGUCCAGCUCCACCAAUUUGGGCGAGGGGAUAAGAAAAAAAGGAAACUCCACCCCCUUUUCCUUUAAUCCCCUUUUGGGUUGGGGAAUGUUUCUUUUAAACCAAUUUUGGAAUUUGAUUCCCGCCCCUGGUUUAAAAAUCCUUUUUGAAUCC